rnacentral:lncRNA from 1 species
AGAAAAUUGACCGUCCGUUUAAUAUAUAAUGUGUGUAUAGCCGUUGGAUGAAACAUGAGGAGGCCAGACGUGGUCUCCUAUCCCACGAGUCUCUCCACUUGGAGUCUCCCAUCCCACGUACAUGUAAAUGAGUCUUCCUCCACUUGGACUCUUUCCCGUUUCCCUUAAAUCAGGAAAAAAAUGUGAUUAGUUAUACACGGGACAUCCUCCACUUGGUACCUAUCCAUGUCGUCUCUCUCACGUUAAUCCUGGGCAAAAAAACUAUAAAAUAAAAAUGUUGGCCUUUUAUUUUUAUUCUCAAUCGCCACGUAUCGUACUUUAAUUGUCCAAAAAGAAAAAUACACAUAGUCUCCAUUGAAAUGUGGUUUCAUUGGCAAUACAAACACAUGCAUGGUUGUAUAUAUUAGGUGUUUUCCGUUCUCCAGGCUAUCUCCUCGGCGCAAGGCCAUCCCAUAGAUCUUAAUUCUUCUAGCACGCAUCUCCGGCUUCAUGCUGUCGACAACAACUUCUACAACAUCUCUCAUCGUCCGCAACGGAUAGCACCUUCCCUCGCUCCCAUCACAAACGGGUCGCCGUCCUGUCCGAUCGGGUCUAAUCACAAAGGUUUGGACAAAUAGCUCUCCUGUACAGGUAACAAACACAUAAGCAUCCUCAUAGGUAUUCCUAACUAUCUCUUUGAUGUUGCAGCUCAAUGACGAAGUCUUCCAUGGCAUACAAAACCUUUUGUCAGAUCAAUACUAGCAGUAGAGGAAAGGAAUUAACAAUCAAGGCAAGAUUAACAAGAUUGGGAUUUCAUAUUGAUCGGUAAUGGUGAAAUACUUAGUCUACGCAUGGUCCUUAUUGAUGAAGAGGUAUUAUGGUUCCCUCAUAGAAAUUACAUCCUUUCUUGAUUUUUUUUAUAAUUUAGCUUCAAUCUACAUGCUAAUCUACAUGCAAAUUACAAAUACAAUUGAAGGGGACAAUGUUGCAUGGAGUUAUCAAUAAGGCACGUAUCAAAAAGUUAAGGUCAUUAAUUCAAGAAGGCAAUGUGUACCUCAUUAAAAAUGUGAGUCAUUCCAGCAGCAGCAAAAUCCUAUAUGAGAUGAUGAUUAACUUCUCACCCACAAGAAAUAUAGAGGAGACUGAACGAAGAUAAUGAAGACAUUCCAAAGCAUGGUUUCAACUUCUCAAGCGUGGAGGUACUCUCCCAAAGAGUAAGCAUUGACACUUAUCUCUUAGGUAUGAUAUCAAUGAACUUUUAAGAUACAAUAUGCCAUACUUCUUCAUGACAUGUAUAAAAUGCCAUCUGCAACACACAUAGGACCAAGUGAAGAAACUAAAACAUAUCUUGGGCCCUCCAGAAUCCAUGAUAUUUUCCUUCUAAUCGAGUAAGCCAAAAAAUACAUCUUAUUUGCAGCGAAGUUUCUCAAGUCAUGUCUUCAUGUUUUACUUUUUGUUGACAGAGACAGCUGAUCUAAUUGAUGUCAAGUCAAUAGGGAAUGUCAUUACAAGUACAUCGACAACAGUGAGGAAAUUUGGCAGUAUGUCUUCUUUCAAAUUUUAAUUACUUAUUUUAUUAUCUCUCUGUUUGGUUUUACAUAGGAAAAUGAUUAUUUGAACCACUAUGCAGGAUAUUCUCUAUCGUCAAAUAGUGCAACUCAAGUUUUUAUAAAUUUAGAUAUUCCUGAGAGUAUGGAUGUACAAAAUAGGUAAGCAAAAUUCCUACAAAUAUUGCCCAUUUAACGUCAAUGUCAGUACUACUUACCCUGGCUCAUAACUUUUUGUCUCCAAAUAACAUUUGUUCCAAAAAUAUAUCAAAGAACUACAUGUUUGAGGAGAACCAUCUAAAAGGGACACUGGAAGAGCAAAUGCGCUACAAUAGAAAAAUUUAGAAGAGUUAAAUGGCAUUCUGUUAGACUCAUCAAAUCAGGUUUGUAAUCCAGCGAUAAUAAUGAAUUGUUUUUUCCCACACAGAAGCAUAAAUAUAUUUAUAUUACUCUACAGGGAAGUAUAUUUACCAUGGAAGCAGUAAUUAAUGAUGUUAAUGCAAGAUAUGGUUGGUACUACAUAUCAUGCAGCGGAAAUAAUUGCAAGAAGCGACUUGAAAAGAGAAUUGAUUACUACUAUUGUACCAAAUGCGAUAGGAAAGCUCAACCCAAACCACGGUAAAAAAUUUAACAUAUCUCUAUCUUAAUAGUUUUAAUAGAAUAAUUUUUAAAUUAAUUCACUACAUAUUUUGCAGAUAUAAGAUUAAGCUUGAACUUAGUGACUCGAGAGUCUGCAUCUUGCGUUCUUUUUGAAAAAGAGGCCCAACAAUUAAAUCAUGAGUUAGCAGAAAACAUGGUUGCAUCAACAAUAGCUGGUCGAUGAGGUAAAUUCUUAUAUCAUGGGUAGAAUAGAAGGUGAAGAGGUAACCUAUCGAAGCUCAGAUAUAGUGUGCAAAGGAAUGUCAAAUUCAUAAGAUGGAGAUCAUUUGUACCCAACAGAAUUCCAGAAUAGCUUUAAGUGCCCUGGAAUACCAGACCACGAAAUACGGCUGAAAGUUGGACUGCCAGUUAUGCUGCUACGGAAUAUCAACCAAAGAGAAGGCUUAUACAAUGGUACGAGACUAACUAUAACACACCUAGGCAAAUGGUUCAUAGAAGCUCAAAUGAUGACAGGAACAAACAUUGGAAACAAGGUAUAUAUUCCAAGGUUUAUUAUGUCACCAAGUGACUCAAAAUGGCCAUUUGUGUCGAAAAGGAGGCAAUACCCAAUAUCAGUUUGUUUUGCAAUGACAAUAAAUAAGAGUCAAGGGUAGUCGCUAAAACAUGCGGGGCUAUAUUUACCAAAGCACGUCUUCACACAUGGUCAACUCUAUGUAGCAGUAUCAAGAGUCACAAGUAGAGAUGGACCUAAAGUUCUAAUUUCAGAUGAAGAAUCAAGGAAAAUAAUUCGGCAAAAAAUAUUGUGUACAAGGAGAUCCUUUAGUAAAGGGACCUUAGAAUAUUUCUAUUUUACUCUAUGUAACCUUCUUCAAAAGGAAAUCAUAUGGAUUUCAGACGAAUCAGGUAUUUCUGCGGACACACAUGACUAUGUUUGCCAAUUUGAUCUAGCACUAAAAAAAUCUGUGGUCUAUGCAUUGCAUAAUUAGUAUUAAAAAACUAGAUGAAUCAUGAAUCUGUACCUUCAGUUUACUAAGUAUUCACAGUUUGGAUCUCACGACUCAUGCCCUAAUCUGUCUCAUAGCUCUGACAUGAGCAUAAUAUAAUUGAAUGUGCAUCUGUCAAUACCAAAUAAAAGAUCCAUCAACAUCUCUUCCUUGGGCAUGAUUGAGCACGAAAUGGCAAGAUUGUCGUUUUCCUAUGUAAAUAUACUUGGAUGAUUUCAUUAAUGAUGAUUCAGGUCGUAUAGCCGACCAAGCAAGGGCUAGAUUUGAUUAUUAUUUUCGUAAUAUCCCAAGAUCAAUUCUGUCAAUAGCUGUGUGCUGUCAUUAAGCAUGGAGCGGUUGGUUCUUGAUUCCCACAUUAUAUGCCUAAAUGGUAACGAAUGUGGUCUGCUCUACAGGUAUUAUAGCGACCACAUAUUACAGGUUACAUCCUACAAAUUCAAACAAUUUAGCUCAGGCAAAAACAAACAAAAUAAGCUAACACAGGUGUACCGAUUCAGAUCAAAUAGUCUCCUUGAUGACUCCUCUACCACCCAUCUGUACACCACACAUACAUCAACUCAUUGCAGAUCUGCACAGAUCCAAAAGGGAAAUAAGGCAUCCCUCGAAGCAAGUUUCCAAUUCUUAAGAUACUACAUGCACAAAAUUAAAUGAUUUAACCACACCUGAUGUAUCCCAUAGUGGUUGCUUUGUAAGAUUUGUCGCUGAGAAAUUGAAGGACUGGGAACAAAAUGUAUGACCAGUGGUUGGAUCGAGGGUUUCAUUUUGGGGGAACGGCGAGUGGGGAGAGGGAGGGCAGUCGGCGCCGCGGGUGGGAUUGGAACUAGCGGUGACUCGGCGUCGCACCCCGGCGGAUUUCUGGAUCAAUCUUUGCCAUGGCUGAAGAUGUCCAUUUUUGGGAGAUGAGGGAAG